GACGUAGGGGGCCAGCGUUGCUCGGAAUAACUGGGCGUAAAGGGUCCGUAGGCGGUGUGGCAAGUCGGGAGUGAAAUCUCUGGGCUUAACCCAGGGGCUGCUUCCGAAACUGCCGUGCUAGAGUGCGAGAGAGGUGAGUGGAAUUGCAGGUGUAGCGGUGAAAUGCGUAGAUAUCUGCAGGAACACCCGUGGCGAAGGCGGCUCACUGGAUCGCAACUGACGCUGAGAGACGAAAGCUAGGGGAGCAAACAGG
rnacentral:rRNA from 1 species